rnacentral:rRNA from 1 species
AUACGGAGGGGGCUAGCGUUGUUCGGAAUUACUGGGCGUAAAGCGCGCGUAGGCGGCGAAGCAAGUUAGAGGUGAAAGCCCCGGGCUCAACCUGGGAAUGGCCUUUAAUACUGCUUUGCUUGAGUUCGGAAGAGGGAAGUGGAAUUUCCAGUGUAGAGGUGAAAUUCGUAGAUAUUGGAAAGAACACCAGUGGCGAAGGCGACUUCCUGGUCCGAUACUGACGCUGAGGUGCGAAAGCGUGGGGAGCAAACAGGAUUAGAAACCCUAGUAGUCC